AUGCCGGAGGAGACGCAGCCCCGCGACCAGCCGAUGGAGGAGGAGGUGGAGACGUUCGCCUUCCAGGCCGAGAUCGCGCAGCUCAUGUCGCUGAUCAUCAACACCUUCUACUCGAACAGAGAGAUCUUCCUGCGGGAGCUCAUCUCCAACUCCUCGGACGGACGCGCUCGACAAGAUCCGCUACAAGAGCAUGACGGACCCCAGCAAGCUGGACUCGGGCAAGGAGCUGCACAUCAACCUGAUCCCCAACAAGCAGGACUGCACGCUGACCAUCGUGGACACAGGCAUCGGCAUGAUCAAGGCCGACCUGAUCAACAACCUGGGCACCAUCGCCAAGUCGGGCACCAAGGCCUUCAUGGAAGCACUGCAGGCCGGGGCCGACAUCUCCAUGAUCGGGCAGUUCGGUGUGGGCUUCUACUUGGCCUACCUGGUCGCUGAGAAGGUGACUGUGAUCACCAAGCACAACGACGACGAGCAGUACGCCUGGGAGUCCUCUGCCAGCGGCUCCUUCACCGUCAGGACCGACACAGGUGAACCUAUGGGUCGUGGAACAAAGGUUAUUCUGCAUCUGAAGGAGGACCAGACUGAGUACUUGGAGGAAAGGAGAAUGAAGGAUAUUGUGAAGAAGCACUCUCAGUUUAUCGGCUAUCCGAUUACUCUGUUUGUGGAGAAAGAGCGAGACAAAGAAGUGAGUGAUGACGAGGCUGAGGAGAAGGAAGAUAAAGAGGAGGAAAAAGAGAAGGAAGAGAAGGAGGCCGACGACAAGCCCGAGAUCGAGGAUGUGGGUUCAGAUGAGGAGGAGGAGGAGAAGAAGGACGACGGGGACAAGAAGAAGAAGGAGAAGAUCAAGGAGAAGUACAUCGACCAGGAGGUGCUCAACAAAACCAAGCCGAUCUGGACCAGGAAUCCCGACGUCAUCACCAACGAAGAGUAUGGCGAGUUCUACAAGAGCUUGACCAACGACUGGGAAGACCACCUGGCUGUCAAGCAUUUCUCCGUUGAAGGGCAGUUAGAGUUCCGCGCCCUUCUCUUUGUCCCGCGACGGGCUCCCUUUGACCUAUUUGAAAACAGGAAGAAGAAGAACAACAUUAAGCUGUACGCCCGCAGGGUUUUCAUCAUGGAUAACUGUGAGGAGCUGAUCCCAGAGUACCUCAAUUUCAUCAGAGGCAUGGUGGAUUCUGAGGAUCUUUCGCUGAAUAUUUCCCGUGAGAUGUUGCAGUAGAGCAAAAUUUUGAAAGUUAUCAGGAAGAAUUUGGUGAAGAAGUGCCUGGAGCUCUUCACUGAACUGGCAGAGGACAAGGAGAACUACAAAAAGUUUUAUGAGCAGUUCUCCAAGAACAUUAAGCUUGGAAUACAUGAAGAUUCCCAAAACCGGAAGAAGCUUUCAGAGCUGUUGAGAUACUACACGUCUGCCUCUGGUGAUGAGAUGGUGGCCCUCAAGAACUACUGCACCCAGAUAAAGGAGAACCAGAAGCACAUCUACUACAUCACUGGUGAAACCAAGGACCAGGUGGCCAACUCUGCUUUCGUGGAGCGCCUGCGGAAGCACGGCCUGGAGGCCCAUCGAUGGAGUACUGUGUGCAGCAGCUCAAGGAAUUUGAGGGGAAGACUUUAGUAUCAGUCACCAAAGAGGGCUUGGAGCUUCCUGAAGAUGAGGAAGAGAAGAAGAAGCAGGAGGAGAAGAAAACCAAGUUUGAAAACCUCUGCAAAAUUAUGAAAGACAUCUUGGAGAAAAAAGUUGAAAAGGUGGUGGUGUCCAACCGCCUGGUCACAUCUCCAUGCUGCAUUGUCACCAGCACAUACGGCUGGACGGCAAACAUGGAGCGAAUCAUGAAGGCGCAGGCCCUGAGGGACAACUCGACCAUGGGCUACAUGGCGGCCAAGAAGAAAACUCCUCUGGCAGCUGAUGUUUCCAGACAUGGGUAUAGUUCCUCAUCCAGGCACAAGUAUACUCCCCGGAGGGCGGUGCUCUAUGUCCCUGGAAAUGAUGAGAAGAAAAUAAAGAAGAUUCCUUCCUUGAAGGUAGAUUGUGCAGUGCUGGAUUGUGAAGAUGGUGUAGCUGUGAAUAAAAAGACUGAAGCUCGACUGAGAAUAGUAAAAACUCUUGAAGAGUUUGAUCUUGGCCCAACAGAAAAGUGUGUGCGAAUCAACUCUGUGUCCAGUGGUCUUGCUGAAGAUGAUCUGGAGGUCCUUUUGCAAUCACGGGUCCUUCCUUCCAGCCUGAUGCUACCCAAGGUGGAAAAUCCUGAAGAAAUCCGAUGGUUUUCAGACAAAUUUUCACUACACUUAAAAGACCGAAAACUUGAACAACCAAUGAAUUUAAUUCCUUUUGUGGAAACUGCAAUGGGUUUGCUCAAUUUUAAGGCAGUAUGUGAAGAGGCACUGAAGACUGGACCUCAAGUGGGGCUGCUUCUAGAUGCCGUCGUUUUUGGAGGAGAAGAUUUCCGAGCUAGCAUAGGUGCAACAAGUAGCAAAGACACCCAGGACAUUCUCUACGCGCGACAAAAGAUCAUUGUUGUAGCGAAGGCCUUUGGUCUCCAAGCCAUAGAUCUCGUGUAUAUUGAUUUCCGAGAUGGAGAAGGGCUGCUCCGACAGUCCCGAGAGGGAGCCGCCAUGGGCUUCACUGGUAAGCAGGUGAUCCACCCAAACCAAAUUGCCUUGGUCCAGGAGCAGUUUUCACCUUCUCCUGAAAAAAUUAAGUGGGCUGAAGAACUGAUUGGUGCAUUUAAAGAACACCAACAAUUAGGAAAGGGAGCCUUUACUUUCCAAGGGAGUAUGAUCGACAUGCCAUUACUGAAGCAGGCCCAGAACAUUGUUACGCUUGCCACAGCCAUCAAGGAAAAAUGAUCUGUUAAAUGAAGCUCUCAUCAGGCUAAAGGGUAUUGAAGCCGCAAAGGAUCAACUUGUGCUUGCCAGAGGACGCCAAUGAAGUUUGAAACACCAACAAUCAGAGAUUUUGUUUCUGUUCCUCAUUAAAUCAUGAGCUUUUGUG